UACGAAGGGGGCUAGCGUUGCUCGGAAUCACUGGGCGUAAAGCGCACGUAGGCGGCUUGUUAAGUCAGGGGUGAAAUCCUGGAGCUCAACCUCGGAACUGCCUUUGAUACUGCAAAUCUCGAGUCCGGAAGAGGUGAGUGGAAUUCCUAGUGUAGAGGUGAAAUUCGUAGAUAUUAGGAAGAACACCAGUGGCGAAGGCGGCUCACUGGUCCGGUACUGACGCUGAGGUGCGAAAGCGUGGGGAGCAAACAGG
rnacentral:rRNA from 1 species